rnacentral:rRNA from 1 species
CAGUAGCCGCGGUAAAACAGAGGGUGCGAGCGUUAAUCGGAUUUACUGGGCGUAAAGCGUGCGUAGGCGGCUUUUUAAGUCGGAUGUGAAAUCCCUGAGCUUAACUUAGGAAUUGCAUUCGAUACUGGGAAGCUAGAGUAUGGGAGAGGAUGGUAGAAUUCCAGGUGUAGCGGUGAAAUGCGUAGAGAUCUGGAGGAAUACCGAUGGCGAAGGCAGCCAUCUGGCCUAAUACUGACGCUGAGGUACGAAAGCAUGGGGAGCAAACAGGAUUAGAUACCCCCGUAGUCCCUGUCUCUUAUAC